NNNNNNNNNNNNNNNNNNNNNNNNNNNNNNNNCCCGCUAUAAACCACUAAGUCUUAAUAAAAUAAUUAAAACAUUCUUUAAAUCUAGUAAAGGCGAUUAAAAAAUUAUCAGGAGCAAUAAAAAUAGUACCGCAAGGGAAAGGUGAAAUAAAAAUGAAACAAAUUUCAAGCACAAUAAAGUAGAGAUAGACCCUCGUACCUUUUGCAUCAUGGUUUAACAAGUCUAAUCAAGCAUAACGAAUUACAGUUUGACCCCCCGAAACUAAGUGAGCUACUUCAGAGCAGCUUAUUGAGCAAACCCGUCUCUGUUGCAAAAGAGUGGGAAGACUCUCAAGUAGAGGUGACAGACCUAACGAACUUAGUGAUAGCUGGUUACUCAAGAAAAGGAUUUAAGUCCCGCCUAAAAUCUAUAUAAUUUAACAAAAUAAUACUGUGACUUUAGAGUAAUUCAAAUAAGGUACAGCCUAUUUGAAAUAGGAUACAACCUCUACUAACGGGUAAUUUACUAAUUUAAUAAUUAAGUGGGCCUAAAAGCAGCCACCUUUAAAAUAGCGUCAAAGCUUUAUUUUACCUUUCAUCUAAUAACCUAAAUUAAUUAAAACCCUUCAUUUAUAUUGAGUAAUUCUAUACCCUUAUAGAACCUAUAAUGUUAAAACUAGUAACAAGAAGAAGCCCUUCUCUAAAAUGCAAGUGUAAAUCAGCAAGGACAACCCGCUGAUAAUCAACACCCGUGAAACUAUACUAGCAACUUCACAAGAAAACCCUAGUAUAACAUGUGUUAACCUAACACAAGAGCAUUUCAAGAAAGAUUAAAAGAAAAAGAAGGAACUCGGCAAAUAUUAACCCCGCCUGUUUACCAAAAACAUCGCCUCUUGAUUAUCUAUAAGAGGUCCAGCCUGCCCAGUGACUCUGUUCAACGGCCGCGGUAUCCUAACCGUGCGAAGGUAGCGUAAUCACUUGUUCUUUAAAUGGGGACUUGUAUGAAUGGCACCACGAGGGUUAUACUGUCUCCUUUCUCUGAUCAGUGAAACUAAUCUCCCCGUGAAGAAGCGGGGAUGCACUUAUAAGACGAGAAGACCCUAUGGAGCUUUAAACUAAAUAACAAAUACUAUCUCUUAUUUAACUUUCAGAACAUACACAUCUACUUUAGCAUUCUGAUUAUUAGUUUUAGGUUGGGGUGACCGCGGAGCAAAAACCAACCUCCUCAUUGAAUGGAACUUACUCCUGAGCAAUAAACUACAACUUUAAGCACCAAGAAAUUGACAUUAAUUGACCCAAUAUUUUGAUCAACGAACCAAGUUACCCUAGGGAUAACAGCGCAAUCUACUUCAAGAGCUCCUAUCGACAAGUGGGUUUACGACCUCGAUGUUGGAUCAGGGUAUCCCAGUGGUGCAGCCGCUACUAAAGG
rnacentral:rRNA from 1 species